GAUGAACGCUAGCUACAGGCUUAACACAUGCAAGUCGAGGGGAAACGAUAUUGGAAGCUUGCUUCUGAUAGGCGUCGACCGGCGCACGGGUGAGUAACGCGUAUCCAACCUGCCCAUCACUUGGGGAUAACCUUGCGAAAGUAAGACUAAUACCCAAUGACGUCUCUAGAAGACAUCUGAAAGAGAUUAAAGAUUUAUCGGUGAUGGAUGGGGAUGCGUCUGAUUAGCUUGUUGGCGGGGUAACGGCCCACCAAGGCGACGAUCAGUAGGGGUUCUGAGAGGAAGGUCCCCCCACAUUGGAACUGAGACACGGUCCAAACUCCUACGGGAGGCAGCAGUGAGGAAUAUUGGUCAAUGGACGAGAGUCUGAACCAGCCAAGUAGCGUGCAGGAUGACGGCCCUAUGGGUUGUAAACUGCUUUAUAAGGGAAUAAAGUGAGUCUCGUGAGACUUUUUGCAUGUACCUUAUGAAUAAGGACCGGCUAAUUCCGUGCCAGCA
rnacentral:rRNA from 1 species